UCUUCGAUUCACCGAGCGCACUGCUUUUACAAAGAAAGAUUUUACAAAGUAAAAUUAGAGUGUUCUGCACUCCUGGGAAGUUUUUCUUUUCUUUCUUCCAUUCUGUGUUCUGCACUGCAGGGACGAGAGUAGUUAUCUGCAUAGACUAGCGCACUACAGUAGGUGCACAUGUGCACUGCACGUACAAUGCAAAUAUCUUUCAGCAGGCAUGUCCUCUGUUAGACUCUGUGUAAUACAGUGCGUCCAGUGUUGCUGCAGUUCAUACAUAGGCAAUAGGCAUGGUGACAAUAUAAUAAGAACAGUGAAAAUGAAUGGUCACUGCAAAUAUGGACAAGUGUUGUCAUUAGCAACAAAAAGCAAAAGAUGAGCCAAAGCAAGCAUGAAUCCAAAUCCACUGCAAACUCACUAAUAAUUCAACAUUGCUGGAGCCUGGAGACACGUGAACCAAGAUCCAGUGAUCACUUUGGCUCCAGGGAUAAUGGACUAUGGAGUGUGUUUGGAUAUAUUUUGCUACUGUAGUUUGUUGGACCUGUCAGAGACUCAGAGUUGACGGCUCAGCCUAGUAGUAGCGUGCAAGACAUCUGAAACAAGCAUUGGAUUUUUACAACUUCCAAUGGCUGAUCAUCACAAAACAAGACUGGCGGCAAAACUUGAAUUUCACUGAAGUUGCAAUAUACAGCACAAGGGAAUCGCAAUGAUGGUUGGAUGUAGAUAUGCAGAAACUAUAGACAACAAAUCAAAUGUACUACUAACGCUAAAUCAAAGGGGUGUUUAGUAAAGACAUCUGAGAUUCAGUGGGUCAGGAAAUAACUUAGGCGCUCCAUAUCUGGCUGGCCACCUUAGUGCAGUGCACUUCUCUCCUGCCGCCGGGGAACCGCAACAAGUUGGGGAGAGAGCUGCUUUUGGAGGCUCGUUGCCAAACUGUAGCAGCAGUGAUAGUGCACAGCAGGAAGCGAGCAGCUUGUCAGAUUUCUGUGUUGAUGAGAAUGUAGGGGGAGGGGGCGCUUUGACUAGAAACUGAAUUGCGAGGCAUAGAGCAGAGCAGUCAAAUCUGAAGAGGUAAAAAAAAAUGGAAAAAACAAAUCGAACAAACUGCACGUAUGGAACUGGCCGAGGCGCAUGCCCGCACAGCUGAUGUCGCUCGGUCGAGCUGCACUGAUGUCACCGGCGAAAGUGCACUGCAUGCGCGCCCGCCACAGGAUAGUGGUGCACAUCGAACCGAACUGCACUGGAAUCUCGCUGGUUGCCGAUGCGUGUGGUGUCCACGGCCUCGAAAAUUGACCCCGACGAUGGGAAGGGUCGCACGACCUGAGAGGUAGGGAAGGGAAGUGGAGUAGGAGGGCGACGGAGGAAUCUUGCUAGGAUGCAUGGGGGCGGGGUUGGCGGAGGUCC
rnacentral:rRNA from 1 species